rnacentral:rRNA from 1 species
UGGGGAAUAUUGCACAAUGGGCGAAAGCCUGAUGCAGCGACGCCGCGUGAGGGAUGACGGCCUUCGGGUUGUAACCUCUUUCAGCAGGGAAGAAGCGAAAGUGACGGUACCUGCAGAAGAGCGCCGCUAACUACGUGCCAGCAGCCGCGGUAAUACGUAGGGCGCAAGCGUUGUCCGGAAUUAUUGGGCGUAAAGAGCUCGUAGGCGGUUAGUCGCGUCUGCUGUGAAACUCGAGGCUCAACCUCGGGCUUGCAGUGGGUACGGGCUGACUAGAGUGCGGUAGGGGUGACUGAAUUCCUGGUGUAGCGGUGGAAUGCGCAGAUAUCAGGAGGAACACCGAUGGCGAAGGCAGGUCAGCUGGGCCGCAACUGACGCUGAGGAGCGAAAGCAUGGGGAGCGAACAGGAUUAGAUA